UGAGCAAUCUGCCCUUCUCAUCGGAAUAAGCGUUGGAAACGACGUCUAAUGCCGAAUACGACCUCCUUUCGCAUGAUCGGAGGUGGAAAGCUCCGGCGGAGAAGGAUGAGCUCGCGGCCUAUCAGCUUGUUGGUGAGGUAAUAGCUCACCAAGGCGACGACAGGUAGCCGGCCUGAGAGGGUGACCGGCCACACUGGGACUGAGACACGGCCCAGACUCUACGGGGG
rnacentral:rRNA from 1 species